CGUUCAUGCCUCUUUGCUGCACCUGUUUCUCUACUACUAUUAUUUGGAAUACGGGCGUUGAUGCUAUUAUGAAUCUGUUAGAGUUUCUAUUGGGCUAUGAUUGCUCUUAAUUUCCACCCAAUUUGAAUCCUUUGCUUGGUUACAACCCCGAUCACUGCUGUGAUAACUAAUAAUACUGCUGUUCUGGUUACUGCCUCUGCCGUUCCAGUUGUGUGAGAGUCACUGCUGUUGCCAUGAAACUAAAAGGGAAGGGAAUUGUUACGUUAAAUUAUGCAAUUGCGACAUCGAGUGACAAAGGUUUGAAGAUGCAAUAUGAAGCUGCAAGUGAUUAGUAGGCUUUCUUUAUGGUUUUAAUUGCUUUCAUAGAGUCCCCUUGCUCUGGUCCUUUGAGGUUUUAUUUUAACAGAGGGAUAGGUGUUGUAUCUGGGUUUAUAUGACUUCUUAUGUAUAAGAAUUACUAUUAAUAAUACUUAUGUGAUUGUUAUUAUUAUUUGCAAUGUUUAUCCUUGAUACA